UACGGGGGGGGCAAGCGUUGUUCGGAAUUACUGGGCGUAAAGGGCUCGUAGGCGGCCAACUAAGUCAGACGUGAAAUCCCUCAGCUUAACUGGGGAACUGCGUCUGAUACUGGAUGGCUUGGAUUCGGGAGAGGGAUGCGGAAUUCCAGGUGGAGCGGUGAAAUGCGUAGAUAUCUGGAGGAACACCGGUGGCGAAGGCGGCAUCCUGGACCGGAAUUGACGCUGAGUGAGCGAAAGCCAGGGGAGCAAACGGG
rnacentral:rRNA from 1 species